CCCCAACUAGCUCAGUUGGUUAGAGCACCCAACUUCAUCGUGUAGUUUAAAAGUAAAAUAGCUGUUCUAGUCAGAAGAUGUAAGGGCAGGACUUACUGCGAUGGCCAAUAAUUGGGAGGUCCUGUGUUCGACUCACAGGUUGGGGACCA
rnacentral:tRNA from 1 species